CAAUAGCGUAUAUUAAAGUUGUUGCAGUUAAAAAGCUCGUAGUUGGAUUUGUGGCGUACGGUGUGUUCCGGGCACUUGUUGUCUGAGUAACCUGCUGUUGCCAUCCUUGGGUGGAACCUGUGUGGCAUUAGGUUGUCGUGCAGGGGAUGCCCAUCAUUUACUGUGAAAAAAUUAGAGUGUUCAAAGCAGGCUUAUGCCGUUGAAUAUAUUAGCAUGGAAUAAUAAGAUAGGACUUUGGUACUAUUUUGUUGGUUUGCGCACCAAAGUAAUGAUUAAUAGGGACAGUUGGGGGUAUUCGUAUUCCGUUGUCAGAGGUGAAAUUCUUGGAUUUACGGAAGACGAACUACUGCGAAAGCAUUUACCAAGGAUGUUUUCAUUAA
rnacentral:rRNA from 1 species